rnacentral:rRNA from 1 species
UACAGAGGUCUCAAGCGUUGUUCGGAUUCAUUGGGCGUAAAGGGUGCGUAGGUGGCGCGCUAAGUCAGGUGUGAAAUUUCGGAGCUUAACUCCGAAACUGCAUUUGAUACUGGCGUGCUUGAGGACUGGAGAGGAGACUGGAAUUCACGGUGUAGCAGUGAAAUGCGUAGAGAUCGUGAGGAAGACCAGUGGCGAAGGCGGGUCUCUGGACAGUUCCUGACACUGAGGCACGAAGGCCAGGGGAGCAGACGGG